rnacentral:lncRNA from 1 species
CGGCCUUUGCUCUCACCGGGGUCGAGCCGCGGCGAGGGAACGGAUCGGAGACGCUGCGCCUGCUCAGAAGGUAGCGCAGCGGGGAAAGGCGGGAGAGCGUUAACUUCUGAGCCUGCGCGGUGGGAGUUGCUCAAGCAGGUGGUAGCGACUUGGCUUCCGGGCAGCGGGUAAAGGUACAGAGUAUGAUGACAGAGAGAGCCUACUGUAUGCCAGAUACUUAACAGAAGGAAAGUAGUUUAUAUGUAAACUCUGGGAAAAGUGGAGCCAAAUGAUUACACUGUGUGUACCCUUUAGCACUGUUUGGGGUGGGGACAUGGGGGGUCAGGGUGCAGAGAGGGACUGUUCUGGUCUCCUUGGAAGGUAUGUGCCUAUAGUAAAAAGCAUGAGUAAGAUAUCACAUCUCCUAACUCCGUAACAACCAAGCAAACUUAUAAUAGCAUUUUAACUUAUAUCACCUUUUUUAUAGGAGCGGAUAUAUAUUCCAGCAGCAUGAGUAUUUUAGCCCUCUUUGCAAUUGCAGUCUUCAUUCAUUAUCAUCAAUAAACUGGCCUCUGGUUGAUUGAUCUAGUCUAGUUCUUAUUUUAUCACAGCACAUGGGAUAUAUGAUAUCAUCAAAGCCAUGAUGUGAACAAACCAUGAGGUAUAAUGGAGUUUGUAUGAGUAAUUGUGCCUUUUAAUUAUAGUUUUAGUUUGCUUUCUUGACUUCCAUUCAUUCAGAUUGCACAUUAGGGGACAGAGAAGAGGGUGCUUCAAUAUAAACCUUUGGCUAUUUUACAAACACACUUUGCUAAAUGUUCUUAGUCUCUAUCCUGCAAAAGUCACCUUCUUGGAUCAGAAAUAUAUAAAAGCCUUAGUGCUGGUGGAAAACAGGCUUCUUCGUUGGAGGUCAGUCUCAACUAACUUCACACUCUGAUUCCUAAAAAAAAAUGGGAAGGUGGGUGUGUACACAUCCUUUAUGUUACAAAUUUCUUACUGGAAAGGUGACCUAAAUAUUAGACUUUCCCGAAAGAGUAUUGAGUCUCAUAAAAAUCUCUAAUGGAACAGCACUUAAGAAUUUCAACCGUGUGACCACUAAGAAUGGUGUAGAUCCAUUACCUCUCACAUAGGCACUCUCCACGAUAGACUAAGUGAUAAAACCAAGCUGCAGAAGAUUGUAUUACCUGGAGAGAUACCAAAUUGUUCAGUGGUGACCUCUGGGAAACAUGGUGGGGGAGGUUUUGAAGGCAACACUCACCUUAAUUUGGGGAUAUUGUUAAAAAAUUUUUUUUACUUACAUAGUCUUUUUAAAAUAAAGAACUUAGCCACAAAAUCAAAACAGCUGAUUGAUAUGAAGCACCAGUAUCUCCAUUAUUGAAAGGUUGCUUCAAGAAUGCUGAAUAGUUUGUUACAUUUUACAAAAAAAUGAAAGAGCACAGGAUGUUGUCUACCUGUUUUAAUUAUGGAAGGAUAAUUGUCAAUUUUUAAAUAGCAAGAUAGUUAUAAAGAAUGUUUUCCAAAGCAAUACCAAAGAGAUACUUUUCCCUUUUAGAAUAGAAAUUAUGGUACCAUGCAGCUUAUUUCCCCAUAUUGAUCAGGUGAGCAUUUGUCUUAAGGAGUAAGAGAGUUUGUCAGACCUGGUGUCCAUGGCUUGCCAGAGAGGCAGAUUGAACUAUCUCUUGGCAUUUCCAUAAAUAUACAAAAAUUAGCCGGGCAUGGUGGCGCACGCCUGAGCCCCAGCUACUCGGGAGGCUGAGGCAGGAGAAUCGCUUGAACCAGGGAGGCAGAGGUUGUGGUGAGCCGAGAUUGCGCCACUGCACUCCAGCCUGGGCAACAGAGUGAGACUCUGUCUCAAAAAAAAAAAAAAAAAAAAAAAAGAAUUAUUGGGGCCAGGCACGGUGGCUCACGCCUAUAAUCUCAGCACUCUGGGAGGCCACACAGGCAGACCACCUGAAGUCAGGAGUUCGAGACCAGCCUGGCCAACAUGGUGAAACCCUGUCUUUACUAAAAAUACAAAAAUUAGUUGGGUGUGGUAGCACACUCCUGGAGUCCCAGCUACUCGGAAGGCUGAGGCAGGAGGAUUUCUUGAACCCGGGAGGUGGAAACUGCAGUGAGUCGAGAUCAAGGCACUGCACUCCAGCCUGGGAGACAGAAUGAGACUCUGUCUCAAAAAAAGGAAAAAAAUCCUUUACUAAGUCACCGAAGUCUUAGAAAUUUGGGAAACUGAGGACAAAGUUCCUAAGGGUUCUGGAGAAGAAGGUACAGCCAUUUGGGGAACUAUUUGUCAAGGAGCAACUUCAUGUCUGGGACAAUAGGUAAUUCAGAAAACAGUCCCUAAGAGACACAAUAUCUGAAAUAAUAAAGGGGUGUGGUAUAUCACUCAGGAAGUUACGUGGUAAGCAGCCAGGAUGGUUGAAGGUCCUGAGUAGCUGAAACCAAUAGGGAAGACUUUAUGGAGGAGUUCAGAUUUGAGACAAGCCAGAUUUUAAGCAGGGAAGAAAACAUUCCAAGUAAA